UACGUAGGGGUCGAGCGUUGUCCGGAGUUACUGGGCGUAAAGCGCGCGCAGGCGGCUUUCUAAGUCAGGGGUGAAAUCCUGGAGCUCAACUCCAGAACUGCCUUUGAUACUGGAGAGCUUGAGUCCGGAAGAGGUGAGUGGAACUCCGGGUGUAGAGGUGAAAUUCGUAGAUAUUCGGAAGAACACCAGUGGCGAAGGCGGCUCACUGGUCCGGUACUGACGCUGAGGUGCGAAAGCGUGGGGAGCAAACAGG
rnacentral:rRNA from 1 species